rfam:Oryza nivara chromosome 8, whole genome shotgun sequence.
UUUUAAUGCAAUUAUAAGUUUUCGUAUUCAACUUUAAUUAUUCAUCUUAUUUUAAAAAAAUUAUAAUUAGUAUUUUUUUAUUAGAUGAUAAGACAUAAACAAUACUUUACUUUACAUAUGACUUAUACUUUUAAAUUUUUUAAAAUAAUUUUUAAAUAAGUUGAACGAUUAAAGUUGGACACGAAAACUAUACCUAUA